GUGGGGAAUAUUGGACAAUGGGCGAAAGCCUGAUCCAGCCAUGCCGCGUGUGUGAAGAAGGCCUUUUGGUUGUAAAGCACUUUAAGCGAGGAGGAGGCUACCGAGAUUAAUACUCUUGGAUAGUGGACGUUACUCGCAGAAUAAGCACCGGCUAACUCUGUGCCAGCAGCCGCGGUAAUACAGAGGGUGCGAGCGUUAAUCGGAUUUACUGGGCGUAAAGCGUGCGUAGGCGGCUUUUUAAGUCGGAUGUGAAAUCCCUGAGCUUAACUUAGGAAUUGCAUUCGAUACUGGGAAGCUAGAGUAUGGGAGAGGAUGGUAGAAUUCCAGGUGUAGCGGUGAAAUGCGUAGAGAUCUGGAGGAAUACCGAUGGCGAAGGCAGCCAUCUGGCCUAAUACUGACGCUGAGGUACGAAAGCAUGGGGAGCAAACAGGAUUAGAUACCCGAGUAGUCC
rnacentral:rRNA from 1 species